UGUACAUGUAACUGAACUUAUGAAGUACAUGUAUAUGUGUUCAGUGUUUUAUUAUGUAAAAUCUACUUAGGGGUACAACUACAUUUACAAAUUAUGUACAUGCAUACAAAGGCACAAACACAAUUUCUACCUCAAAACUUUCAUCAGAUACAAGUCAAAAAAUUUAAGAUUAUAAGAAUUAAGCUAAUAAUUAUACAUGUAGCAGAUCUUAGAAAUAUUUUCAUGAAGAGAUACAUUAUUGCUUAUGCUAUCACUUUGCCUAUCUUGGUUGAGUAUAUAGUACACUUGCAGAUGACACACACUGUUUCAUGGAAUACUGAAUCUUAAUUAUUGACAAAUCGUAUAAUUUCAUGAUAUUACAUUUUUUGUUACAUACUAAAUAAGUGCAUGAUUUUUUUCCUUUUAGAAGUCAUGUUUUAAUUGCUGCCCAUCAAAUAGUACAGUGUCUUGCAUGUGUAAAUUAGAUUCAUUUUGAGGAAAUAGCUGGUGUGCAGUGCACAUUCCUAAAUGAAUUCAUCAGUUUACAUUAAGGAUCUACCUUCAAAUCCUGUAAUCUGGAAUGCUCUAAAGUGCAUGUCACAGACUAAAGUUAUAAAAAUAACUUCCAAGAAUUUUUAAGAAAUUGUUAUAACUUUAAAAUAUAUGCAUAUACAUGUAUACUGAUAUUGAAUUAAAUUUUAUAAAAUUUCA